rnacentral:rRNA from 1 species
CCUACGGGCGGCAGCAGUAGGGAAUAUUGCUCAAUGGGGGAAACCCUGAAGCAGCAACGCCGCGUGGAGGAUGAAGGUUUUAGGAUUGUAAACUCCUUUUGUUAGAGAAGAUUAUGACGGUAUCUAACGAAUAAGCACCGGCUAACUCCGUGCCAGCAGCCGCGGUAAUACGGAGGGUGCCAGCGUUACUCGGAAUCACUGGGCGUAAAGAGUGCGUAGGCGGGGUAAUAAGUCAGAUGUGAAAUCCUGUAGCUUAACUACAGAAGUGCAUUUGAAACUGUUACUCUGGAGUGUGGGAGAGGUAGGUGGAAUUCUUGGUGUAGGGGUAAAAUGCGUAGAGAUCAAGAGGAAUACUCAUUGCGAAGGCGACCUGCUGGAACAUUACUGACGCUGAUGCACGAAAGCGUGGGGAGCAAACAGGAUUAGAUACCCCAGUAGUC